CAAGUUGGUCAGGCAGUCGCUGUAAUGCUGUUUCAGUGUUAUGGAGGAAAGUCCGGGCUUCGCAGGGUAAGGUGCCAGGUAACGCCUGGGGGGCGCGAGUCUACGGAAAGUGCAGCAGAAAAAAUACCGCCUAAGCAGUUUACUGCCGGUAAGGUUGAAAUGGUGCGGUAAGAGCGCACCGCGCAUCUGGUAACAGUAUGUGGCAAGGUAAACCCCACCUGAAGCAAGACCAAAUAGGAAUCCAUUGGCGUGACCCGCGCUGGAUUCGGGUAGGUCGCUAGAGGCAUGUAGCGAUACAUGUUCGAGAGGAAUGACUGUCCACGACAGAACCCGGCUUAUCGACCAACUUGCAAU
rnacentral:RNase_P_RNA from 2 species